AGAGUUUGAUCCUGGCUCAGAAUCAACGCUGGCGGCGUGCCUCAGACAUGCAAGUCGAACGAUUAAAGCUCUCUUCGGAGAGUGCAUAGAGUGGCGCACGGGUGAGUAACACGUAAGUAAUCUACCUUCGAGUGGGGAAUAACAGUCGGAAACGACUGCUAAUACCGCAUAAUGCAGCGGCAUCGCAAGAUGACAGUUGUUAAAGAUUUAUCGCUUGAAGAGGAGCUUGCGGCAGAUUAGCUAGUUGGUAAGGUAAUGGCUUACCAAGGCUACGAUCUGUAACCGGUCUAAGAGGACGGUCGGUCACACUGACACUGAAUAACGGGUCAGACUCCUACGGGAGGCAGCAGUCGGGAAUUUUGGGCAAUGGGGGAAACCCUGACCCAGCAACGCCGCGUGAAGGAUGAAGUAUUUCGGUAUGUAAACUUCGAAAGAAUAGGAAGAAUUAAUGACGGUACUAUUUAUAAGGUCCGGCUAACUACGUGCCAGCAGCCGCGGUAAUACGUAGGCAGCGAGCGUUGUUCGGAGUUACUGGGCGUAAAGCGUGCGUAGGCGGUGGUCCAAGUCUGGUGUGAAAUCUCCCGGCUCAACUGGGAGGGUGCGCCGGAAACUGGGCCGCUGGAGUGCGGGAGAGGCAAGCGGAAUUCCAGGUGUAGCGGUGAAAUGCGUAGAUAUCUGGAGGAACACCCGUGGUGCAGACGGCUUGCUGGACCGUAACUGACGCUGAGGCACGAAAGCGUGGGUAGC
rnacentral:rRNA from 1 species